rnacentral:rRNA from 1 species
GACGAACGCUGGCGGCGUGCUUAACACAUGCAAGUCGAACGGAAAGACCCUGCUUUUGUGGGGUGCUCGAGUGGCGAACGGGUGAGUAACACGUGAGUAACCUGCCCUUGACUUUGGGAUAACUUCAGGAAACUGGGGCUAAUACCGGAUAGGAGCUCCUGCUGCAUGGAGGGGGUUGGAAAGUUUCGGCGGUUGGGGAUGGACUCGCGGCUUAUCAGCUUGUUGGUGGGGUAGUGGCUUACCAAGGCUUUGACGGGUAGCCGGCCUGAGAGGGUGACCGGCCACAUUGGGACUGAGAUACGGCCCAGACUCCUACGGGAGGCAGCAGUGGGGAAUAUUGCACAAUGGGCGGAAGCCUGAUGCAGCAACGCCGCGUGCGGGAUGACGGCCUUCGGGUUGUAAACCGCUUUCGCCUGUGACGAAGCGUGAGUGACGGUAAUGGGUAAAGAAGCACCGGCUAACUACGUG